AGCGAACGCUGGCGGCAGGCUUAACACAUGCAAGUCGAGCGGGCAUCUUCGGGUGUCAGCGGCGGACGGGUGAGUAACGCGUGGGAACGUGCCUUCUGGUUCGGAAUAACUCAGGGAAACUUGAGCUAAUACCGGAUACGCCCUUUUGGGGAAAGGUUUACUGCCGGAGGAUCGGCCCGCGUCUGAUUAGCUAGUUGGUGGGGUAACGGCCUACCAAGGCGACGAUCAGUAGCUGGUCUGAGAGGAUGAUCAGCCACACUGGGACUGAGACACGGCCCAGGCUCCUACGGGAGGCAGCAGUGGGGAAUAUUGGACAAUGGGGGCAACCCUGAUCCAGCCAUGCCGCGUGAGUGAUGAGGGCCUUAGGGUUGUAAAGCUCUUUUAUCCGGGACGAUAAUGACGGUACCGGAGGAAUAAGCCCCGGCUAACUUCGUGCCAGCCGCCGCCGUAA
rnacentral:rRNA from 1 species